UUAUAUAACAGUACUAUGAAGUCUACCAAUAUUAAUUAUCAAACACUUUGACUUAGAAACUGCAUAGUAGCGUAUAAGGUUUUCUGUAAAACAACAUUAAGUCUGUGUUUUAAUAUUUCAUCUGAUAUGAUAUUAGCCAUGAAAAAUUGGUUUAUUUUUGGAUUCCUCAUUUUCAAACUAUUCACAGUGUCAGGUUCCUGUUUUAAUGAACGGGGAAGAUUAACACAUGGCAGAGGGUGUCAACACAUUCCAUUAACUUUGACCUUUCGUAUAAAAAAAACAGCUCGAACACGGCGUUCCUAUUGUACUCUGGUGUGUACACUUCAAGACGAUGUCUUCCGUUCAUUUUGUGACUGUGCUAAGAAAGACACGACCACUACACCAAGAGAAACCACAACGCCAGCACCAACAUAUCCUUCCCUUACCAUAACAACCACAACCAGUACAACUACGCCACCGAAAGAAACAUCAGAAGAUACAACAACCCCAGACGAAACAACUCCAGAACCUACAACGUUUAAAAUUUGAAGUUUUCCAAACGAAUCAAUCUGAUCAAGAUCACAUCAAAAGGAUGUUAUGCUGCUAAAAGAUUACUCUCAGAAUUUCACUGUAGGCAAAAACUCUAACACAUUGAGAUCAUCUUAUUUUUUCUUUCGUAUCCAAUAAUUCGAAAAUUUCGCAUUGUGUGCAGUGUCAGUGUGAACUAAUGAGCCAUUUGGACAUUUAUUAAAGUUAUGAUUAUGUUC